AACAUUUUUAUAUAUUUUUUAAUAUUUAGUAAUGCUAAUAAAAUAAUAAACUACUUUUCAUUACUUCUAGUUUGUUGUUUCUUUUUGUGUCAUUUUUUUUUAUAUUUAUGUAUAUAUAUUUUUAAGACUUUAUUGAAUUUGUUAUACAGAAAUGAGUAAUAUAUUACAUCACUUUCGUGUUUUAAAGGUAGCUACUGAAGAUAAUCCGUUAGUGACAUUCAAUUUAUUUAUAGCUAGUACGAAAGAUAAUCCGAAUAAUGACGGAUCAUGUAAUGAAACAUUAUGUGUUGCUGUACUUGAUAAUAUAAUUAGUGGAGAAUAUUUAAAAAAAUUUAUGACUAACUUUGGAGCUAUCGUUUUUUUUAAUAUUGUUGAAAAUGAAAUUUUAUCAGUUAACUUAAAAAUGUUUGCAUAUUGUUUAUAUAUAAAGUAUAAAGAACAAGCUGCAAUAGAUGUUAUAUUAAGUUAUAGUGUUAAAAUAAAUGACUAUUUUAAAAAUAAUAUACAGAUACCAUAUUUUAUAAAAAUAGAAAAACAAAAUCUUAAUUCCUACAUAAAAGAUUAUUAUAACCAUAAUUACAAUUUGUAUAAUGCUAGAAAAGUAAUUAUUAACGAUAUUAUAAAUUUAAAUAAAGUUAAAAAAAAAAAAAAAAUUAUUAAUAAAGUUGACAGUGAUGGUUUUACAAUUGUUCAGAGGUCGUCGGACAAACCGGAAAUAGUGAAUUCUAUUUUUUCUCAAACCGAUGAUAAACUUAGUUACUUAAAAAGAAAAGAAAAAAAAAAAACUUAUGAAAAUUUUUAUUUAUUUAAGAAAAAAGACAUUCAUAAGCCAAAGUUUAUUUUUACAAAACAAAUAGUAAAGAAAAAGCGAAAAAAGGUGAAGUAAAAAAAAAAAAAAAAAAAAAUAGAAAUUACCGAAUUUAUUUUAAGUUAUUUGUGUAAAUAUAUUGAAUUAGUAUCUAUACAUACAUAUAUAUAAGAAAAAAAUUAAAUAGAAAACAAAAAUUAAAAGUAAUUUUAUGAGACGCUAAAAAUUAUAAAGAUUGUAUAAAUAUAUAAAUGUAUUGAUCUGUGUUUUGUUUUUUAAUUAUUUUCACGCAAAGUAUAUUUACAUUUUUGUUUUGUUUUCAACUGUUUAAUGAUAAAUAUAUAUUUGUUUUUAAUACUUCUUGUUUUAGUCAUUUUAUUAUUUUUUUUUUUUAUGAAAAUUAUUCAUUUAUACUCAUACAUAAUAUAUAUACAUAAGAGGUACUUAAUAAAAGACAGUUUAAACUAUAUUAAAAUAUGUUG
rnacentral:lncRNA from 1 species